rnacentral:lncRNA from 1 species
GUGUUUGUGCAUGCUUUGUCGAUAUUCAUAAAGGCUACGCACAUAUUUACAAGUGGAACGUAUUAUGACAUCAUCAAAGUACUUGAACCUAACACAUCCUCCUUCUAAGUUGUUUAUAGGUUUUGUCUUUGUCAAUAGAUCAUCAUCCCAUUGGUAAGAUAGACACCCUAUUAAGCUUACUAUUUGAAAGACACCUAUUAAGCUUACUAUUUGAAUUUUUUUGGAUAUAAAUGUAAUAAUUACAAUUACAAUAUAAUCAUAUUCUUUAUAAUUUUUUUUUAAAUCAAUAAUUUCAUUCGAAUCAUCAGGGCAAAUUACAUAAGGAUAGCAGGUAGACGAGCAACAAACUGCGCCGCCAUCCCUUUUUGAACAGAAAACCCUAAUCUACUAAAAACAAAGCCUCGCCCCUGAGGGGUCGAAAAGUUGCUAUGGACCACACGCUGAACUCUAGACAAGAAUCGAACUGCCUCCGGCGCCAAGAAGCCGAACGUGUCAAACGCCAGGGGGACAAAGGCAUGUCUUAGUAGAAUUACAAUAUAAUUAUAUUCUUUAUAAUGUCUUAGAAAUGUUACGAUUGACUUUUAGAACUUAAGGUAAUUUUUUAACUUUAGAAAGUUUGUAAGAGUCGGAGAUGAUUGUGGGUAAUUUGGGUUAAAGGGGUCAACAACAACCCAAUAUGUAAUUUUAAAAGAAUUGUUGCAAGACCC